rnacentral:rRNA from 1 species
AGAGUUUGAUCAUGGCUCAGGAUGAACGCUAGCUACAGGCUUAACACAUGCAAGUCGAGGGGAAACGACAUCGAAAGCUUGCUUUUGAUGGGCGUCGACCGGCGCACGGGUGAGUAACGCGUAUCCAACCUGCCCACCACUUGGGGAUAACCUUGCGAAAGUAAGACUAAUACCCAAUGAUAUCUCUAGAAGACAUCUGAAAGAGAUUAAAGAUUUAUCGGUGAUGGAUGGGGAUGCGUCUGAUUAGCUUGUUGGCGGGGUAACGGCCACCAAGGCUACGAUCAGUAGGGGUUCUGAGACGGAAGGUCCCCCCANAUUGGAACUGAGACACGGUCCAAAACUCCUACGGGAGGCA